rnacentral:rRNA from 1 species
ACUCCUACGGGAGGCAGCAGUGGGGAAUAUUGCACAAUGGGGAAACCCUGAUGCAGCCAUGCCGCGUGUGUGAAGAAGGCCUUCGGUUGUAAAGCACUUCAGUAGGGAGGAAGGUAGUGUAGUUAACACCUGCAUUAUUUGACGUUACCUACAGAAGAAGCACCGGCUAACUCCGUGCCAGCAGCCGCGGUAAUACGGAGGGUGCGAGCGUUAAUCGGAAUUACUGGGCGUAAAGCGCAUGCAGGCGGCCUGUUAAGUCAGAUGUGAAAGCCCGGGGGCUUAACCUCGGAAUUGCAUUUGAAACUGGCAGGCUAGAGUCUUGUAGAGGGGGUAGAAUUUCAGGUGUAGCGGUGAAAUGCGUAGAGAUCUGAAGGAAUACCAGUGGCGAAGGCGGCCCCCUGGACAAAGACUGACGCUCAGAUGCGAAAG